AUUGAACGCUGGCGGCAGGCUUAACACAUGCAAGUCGAGCGGGGGGAGGUAGCUUGCUACCGGACCUAGCGGCGGACGGGUGAGUAAUGCUUAGGAAUCUGCCUAUUAGUGGGGGACAACAUCUCGAAAGGGAUGCUAAUACCGCAUACGUCCUACGGGAGAAAGCAGGGGAUCUUCGGACCUUGCGCUAAGAGAUGAGCCUAAGUCGGAUUAGCUAGUUGGUGGGGUAAAGGCCUACCAAGGCGACGAUCUGUAGCGGGUCUGAGAGGACGAUCCGCCACACUGGGACUGAGACACGGCCCAGACUCCUACGGGAGGCAGCAGUGGGGAAUAUUGGACAAUGGGGGGAACCCUGAUCCAGCCAUGCCGCGUGUGUGAAGAAGGCCUUAUGGUUGUAAAGCACUUUAAGCGAGGAGGAGGCUACUUUAGUUAAUACCUAGAGAUAGUGGACGUUACUCGCAGAAUAAGCACCGGCUAACUCCGUGCCAGCCGCCGCGGUAA
rnacentral:rRNA from 1 species